rnacentral:rRNA from 1 species
UACACUCCUGCGGGAGGCAGCAGUGGGGAAUAUUGGACAAUGGGCGCAAGCCUGAUCCAGCCAUGCCGCGUGAGUGAUGAAGGCCCUAGGGUUGUAAAGCUCUUUCACCGGUGAAGAUAAUGACGGUAACCGGAGAAGAAGCCCCGGCUAACUUCGUGCCAGCAGCCGCGGUAAUACGAAGGGGGCUAGCGUUGUUCGGAUUUACUGGGCGUAAAGCGCACGUAGGCGGACUAUUAAGUCAGGGGUGAAAUCCCGGGGCUCAACCCCGGAACUGCCUUUGAUACUGGUAGUCUUGAGUUCGAGAGAGGUGAGUGGAAUUCCGAGUGUAGAGGUUAAAUUCGUAGAUAUUCGGAGGAACACCAGUGGCGAAGGCGGCUCACUGGCUCGAUACUGACGCUGAGGUGCGAAAGCGUGGGGAGCAAGCAGUAUUAGAAACCCUUGUAGUCCCAUGA